GACGAACGCUGGCGGCGUGCCUAAUACAUGCAAGUCGAGCGAAUGACGAGAAGCUUGCUUCUCUGAUUUAGCGGCGGACGGGUGAGUAACACGUGGGCAACCUGCCCUACAGAUUGGGAUAACUCAGGGAAACCUGGGCUAAUACCGGAUAAUCCUUCGAAUCACAUGUUUUGAAGUUGAAAGGCGCUUCGGCGUCACUGUAGGCUGGGCCCGCGGUGCAUUAGCUAGUUGGUGGGGUAACGGCCUACCAAGGCAACGAUGCAUAGCCGACCUGAGAGAGUGCGCAGCCACAUUGGGAGUGAGACACGGCCCAAACUCCUACGGGAGGCAGCAGUAGGGAAUCUUCCACAAUGGACGAAAGUCUGAUGGAGCAACGCCGCGUGAGUGAUGAAGGUUUUCGGAUCGUAAAACUCUGUUGUAAGGGAAGAACAGGUACGUUAGGAAAUGAACGUACCUUGACGGUACCUUAUUAGAAAGCCACGGCUAACUACGUGCAAGCCGCCGCCGUAA
rnacentral:rRNA from 1 species